CGUGUUUGUACGUGGGAUAAGUAGAAUUUUAUUACUUUUUCUUCGUCGAUGAACAGAUUAUUCAGCUAGAAUCCGCCGCGCGGAUUCGUUGGCCAUCGUUCCCAUUCAACGAUUUCGUACAGGAAGGAGAAUAAAAAUCUAUCCAUGAUAAAGGGUGCCGUCUCUCCCGCUUUCACGAGGCGACCAGCGGCCCGGUGUUCAAUCCUUCGAUGCCAUUUCUGACACAGCCAAUUUAUCUCCUCGCUCGAAACCGUCCAUCUAGAGAAGAAAAAAGAAAUGGACACGAUAUAUCUAUGGAAGGUUACGAGCAAGCGAAUUCGUCUUUCGUUGGAUCUUUAAGAAAAGUCGGUGAAUUUUUAUCGAGAAAAUCAUCAGCCUAGAAAAAAAAGAAAUAGACAGAUUUCUCUGAUACAUUUUGCUGGAUCUUCCAAGUAAACUCGAUAAAUUUUCGUGGAAAAAGUUGGAGGCAUUAAGGAAAGAGAGAAAGAAACGCGAGAUAUCUAUUUUUUAAGGAACGUUGCAAUACGACUUCUGACCGAGCAAGCUCGAAAUCACCUACCUAGAAAAAAAAGAAAUAGACACGCUUCGUAAUGCGUCUCUUCGUUUUUGUGCGUUGCGAAGGGCAAUUUGUUCAAUUUUAUCUCCUCUUGGACCCUGGGUCCAAGUAAACUCGGUGAAUUUUUAUCGAAAAAGGAAACGUUGAUCUAAAAAAAAAAAGAAAUAAUAAUAUACCUUUCUUCGUAACACAUUUCUUCGUUUUCGCGCGUUGCGAAUGUUGCAAUGCGAUUUCUGACCAAGCGAAUUUGUUCAAUUUUAUCUCCUCUUUCCUCCUGGACCCAAGAUCCAAGUAAACUCGAUGAAUUUUUAUCGAAAAAGCUGGAUCUAAAAAAAAAAAAAAAGAAAUAGACUAUCUAUUUUCCGUUUAAUCCUUCGUUCAAUCGGUCGGCCGCGAAAAAAAUACGCCCGAUGAUUAAUCCCCUGGAUGGGAAAUGGAGAGCGCGAAACGCUUUCGGCGCGGACCCGUGAAAACGGUUUCGGAAAACAGUGGAAACGGGCGGGGAUUGGAAGAAUCGUCAUUGAUUAGGAAUAAUUACCGUUAACGAGCGCGAUUAAAAGCCGUGGAGGCCUCCGCUCCGGUUUAUUAAAUGUAAACAGCCAUGUUUUUAACCAUCGUCCCCCGUCCGUUUCGUUUCGAAUCGGGAAUUUCUCCGCCCCGAAUAAUCACCGGAACUUGCGGAUUAUUUUAACCCGGCCGGGCCGGCCUGUUUGCUCAGCGCGCAUAAAUUAACGAAACGCCAAGUAAAAUGGGACGAUUCCGCGGCCGCAAAUUUCGCGCCGACCAAUUCUCCCCAGACUCCACCUGCAAUGUCGCUAAUUACCGAACGCGUUUCCAGGUUUCGGCGUUUCCGUCCGAGUCGAUUAACUCCUCUCCUCUUUUUCUCUGCUUUCCAGGGCAACGGUCGGACGCGUUAUCGCGCGGCGACGGACGCGUCCACUCGAUCCACCCGCGGCCAGUGGAAAUCUAUUAUCCUCGUAAAGUGACCAAGAUGUCAGGGACGCUUGAUGGAUGAGCGGUGAUUAAUUAUACAUCCCCUCCCCACGCUCCGGGUUUUCCCGAUGGUAAACACUGGACGAUCCUUCCUUCCUUCCUUCCACUGCCUCUUCUCAGCCGAGAACGUGGCCGUGCUCGUGCUGGACGACCGUUCCGAUUGACGUAUUAAUUUUCUAAAGUGGAUACGCGCGCGGGUGUAACAAACCCCCGACCACGUGCAAACGUGCUUCGAUCGAUCCUCGUUAAUCUCGAUAAUGGGGAU